AAAUUGAAGAGUUUGAUCAUGGCUCAGAUUGAACGCUGGCGGCAGGCCUAACACAUGCAAGUCGAACGGUAACAGGAAGCAGCUUGCUGCUUUGCUGACGAGUGGCGGACGGGUGAGUAAUGUCUGGGAAACUGCCUGAUGGAGGGGGAUAACUACUGGAAACGGUGGCUAAUACCGCAUAACGUCGCAAGACCAAAGAGGGGGACCUUCGGGCCUCUUGCCAUCAGAUGUGCCCAGAUGGGAUUAGCUAGUUGGUGAGGUAACGGCUCACCAAGGCGACGAUCCCUAGCUGGUCUGAGAGGAUGACCAGCCACACUGGAACUGAGACACGGUCCAGACUCCUACGGGAGGCAGCAGUGGGGAAUAUUGCACAAUGGGCGCAAGCCUGAUGCAGCCAUGCCGCGUGUAUGAAGAAGGCCUUAGGGUUGUAAAGUACUUUCAGCGGGGAGGAAGGUGUUGUGGUUAAUAACCGCAGCAAUUGACGUUACCCGCAGAAGAAGCACCGGCUAACUCCGUGCCAGCAGCCGCGGUAAUACGGAGGGUGCAAGCGUUAAUCGGAAUUACUGGGCGUAAAGCGCACGCAGGCGGUCUGUCAAGUCGGAUGUGAAAUCCCCGGGCUCAACCUGGGAACUGCAUUCGAAACUGGCAGGCUUGAGUCUUGUAGAGGGGGGUAGAAUUCCAGGUGUAGCGGUGAAAUGCGUAGAGAUCUGGAGGAAUACCGGUGGCGAAGGCGGCCCCCUGGACAAAGACUGACGCUCAGGUGCGAAAGCGUGGGGAGCAAACAGGAUUAGAUACCCUGGUAGUCCACGCCGUAAACGAUGUCUACUUGGAGGUUGUGCCCUUGAGGCGUGGCUUCCGGAGCUAACGCGUUAAGUAGACCGCCUGGGGAGUACGGCCGCAAGGUUAAAACUCAAAUGAAUUGACGGGGGCCCGCACAAGCGGUGGAGCAUGUGGUUUAAUUCGAUGCAACGCGAAGAACCUUACCUGGUCUUGACAUCCACAGAACUUUCCAGAGAUGGAUUGGUGCCUUCGGGAACUGUGAGACAGGUGCUGCAUGGCUGUCGUCAGCUCGUGUUGUGAAAUGUUGGGUUAAGUCCCGCAACGAGCGCAACCCUUAUCCUUUGUUGCCAGCGGUCCGGCCGGGAACUCAAAGGAGACUGCCAGUGAUAAACUGGAGGAAGGUGGGGAUGACGUCAAGUCAUCAUGGCCCUUACGACCAGGGCUACACACGUGCUACAAUGGCGCAUACAAAGAGAAGCGACCUCGCGAGAGCAAGCGGACCUCAUAAAGUGCGUCGUAGUCCGGAUUGGAGUCUGCAACUCGACUCCAUGAAGUCGGAAUCGCUAGUAAUCGUGGAUCAGAAUGCCACGGUGAAUACGUUCCCGGGCCUUGUACACACCGCCCGUCACACCAUGGGAGUGGGUUGCAAAAGAAGUAGGUAGCUUAACCUUCGGGAGGGCGCUUACCACUUUGUGAUUCAUGACUGGGGUGAAGUCGUAACAAGGUAACCGUAGGGGAACCUGCGGUUGGAUCACCUCCUUA
rnacentral:rRNA from 1 species